rnacentral:lncRNA from 1 species
CAAGGACUCCCAAAUUUAAUUACCAACCUAACAUACCUUACAAUGUUUUAUUAACGUAACUCAAUUGAUUCCUACGUUUUACUUUGCAUGGUGACCAAGGUCCAACUUCCUGUAUAAUGGGAUUGAUUGAGAAUGCAAUAUCUGUUAUUUUUCUUUCAGGGACAUACGCGGAGUCAAUUCAUUUCUAUGUCCUCGGCACUUAUCAAAUUUAAAGCAUGGCUAUAUUUUAGAAUCUUUUCAAGGUAAUUUUUUGUUUUGAAUACCAGCACCUGAUUAUUUCUUACUUUGUCAUUGAAUUGCAACCCAUUGUGCUCUUUAUUAUGCAGCUGUGCACCUCUUCAUGAUAUUCUGGAAACAUACGAAUCGAGAAAUCUAGGAGCACGUCUGGGACACAGUUUGGGGGUACUAAACAGGACAAUAGACAAAAUUUUAACUUUCUUUCCUCUUUAAUAAUGUCAAAUCUAGCUUAUAAAACAUGCCUAGAUGUUCUGAACAAGGACUUCUUACUUGAAUGUG